AAGCAAUCGAAGAAGAAAGAGAAGAAACCAGCUACUGCAGCGUUCAGGCAACAAGUGAACAUCAUUAUGAAGCCGGAGCCUUCAUCGCAAUCCUCAACGGUGGCGGCAGAAUCUAGCAUGAGCUCACAAAGGGAAGACCGCGGCGUCGUCCGGCACUUUAAGACAUCGCUGUUGUUCUUGUACUUUAUCGGCGUGGAGCCAGGGAGGACUAGGACCUGGAUUGGUGACGGCGCUGCUUAGCUAAGCGUAGCCAUUCGUUUAGCAGCCGACAAACGACGGUGAGUCUAAUAGGAGCUCACAAAAGGAAGACCGCAGCGAUGACCAGCCCUAUAGGGCAUCGCUGUUGUUCUUGUGCCUGAUCGGAGUGGUGCCAUGGAGGACUAGUAGCUAGACGGGAGAGGGCGCUGCUUAGCUACUCGUAGUCAUCGCCCUCUCAAGCAAAAAACGAGGGAGAACCUAACUUGAGCUCACAAAAGGAAGACCGCGGCGAUGACCGGCGCUAUAUGGCAUCGCUGUUGUUCUUGUGCCUUAUCGGAGUGGUGCCGGGAGAACUAGGAGCUGGAUUGGCCACGACGCUGCUUAGCUCAUCGUAGUUAUCCGCUUAUCUACCGACAAACGACGGAGAUCCUAACAGGAACUCACAAAAGGAAGACCGCAGCGAUGGCCGGCCCUAUAUGGCAUCGCUGUUGUUCUUGUGCCUUAUCGGAGUGAAGCCAUGGAGGACUAGUCGCUGGACUGGUGAGGGCGCUGCUUAGCUACUCGUAUUCAUCGCUCUCUCAAGCAAAAAAUGAGGUAGAAUCUAACUUGAGCUCACAAAAGGAAGACCGCGGCGAUGACCGGCGCCAUAUGGCAUCGCUGUUGUUCUUGUGCCUUAUCGGAGUGGUGCCGGGAGGACUAGGAGCUCGAUUGGUCACGACGCUGCUUAGCUCAUCGUAGUGAUCCGUUUAUCUACCGACAAACGACGGAGAAUCUAACGAGAGCUCACAAAAGGAAGACCGCGGCGAUGACCGGUGCCGUAUGGCAUCGCUGUUGUUCUUGUGCCUUAUCGGAGUGGUGCCGGGAGGACUAGGAGCUACAUUGGUGACGGCGCUGCUUAGCUCAUCGUAUUCAUCCGUUUAUCUACUGGAAAAUGCCGCAGAACCUUUCAGGAACUCACAAAAGGAAGACCGCGACGAUGUCCGGCCCUAUAUGGCAUCGCUGUUGUUCUUGUGCCUUAUCGGAGUGGUGCCAUGGAUGACUACUAGUUGGACUGGUGAGGGCGCUGCUUAGCUACUCGUAGUCAUCAGCCUCUCCAGAGAAAAACGGGGGAGAAUCUAACGAGAGCUCACAAAAGGAAGACCGCGGUGAUGACCGGCGCCAUAUGGCAUCGCUGUUGUUCUUGUGCCUUAUCGGAGUGGUGCCGGGAUGACUAGGAGGUUGAUUGGUCACGACGCUGCUUAGCUAAUCGUAGCCAUCCGUUUAUCUACCGACAAAUGACCUGGUCCGCAAGUCCGCCGCCCUCCGCAGGGACAAUCUAACAGGAGCUCACAAAAGGAACACCGCGGCGUCGUCCGGUGCUAUAUGACAUCGCUGUUGUUCUUGUGUCUUAUCGGAUGGUGCCUGGAGGAAUAGUAGCUGGAUUGGUGACUUGCGCUCCUUAGUUGCUCGUAGUCAGCGACCUCUGCACCGACAAACGAGAGUACAGCCAAUGCUCCUGCGGGCACGACGAUUGAAUGCAAGGUCUAGGCACAGUGGCUGAGGCUGAAAGUGGACCAGAAAUAUGUCCUUGCCACGACUUUACCAGUUAGUGUGCGGUGAUUACAAAGAGAAAGACAAUUUAUCAAAAGCUCGUCAGGGUUACAGUCCCUCUGGCGGCUGUAAUGUGGUGCGAAAUAAUGCGGAAAGAAAAAAAGUUAGGACACAAAAGACAACACUGUGCUCUCGUAUAGUAAAGGUGAACUGAGUUCCACUCAAAUGAAAGGCCCGGAGUUGUGUUCCUAAGUUCAGUAACCAGUGUUUCUACCACUUGUUAGGCAUGCGGAAUGUAUGUUUCUAGAAUGGAAAGGAUAGCGAAGAAAUGGGACGCCCCGAAACAGCCGGUCAGCCAACAAAACCUUGCGCCGCCUCUUUUCCCGCUUCCACGCUUCGUCAGUGUGGAGUUAUAAAAAUAGAAAAUAAGGCGUUAGAAUAUAUAUAUAUGUAUAUAUAUAUAUAUAAAUGGAGGAGAGAGAGAGCGAUACUUCUAUUCAUAUGAAAAGAACGAUGCGUUAUUCGGCCAGUAAUAUCCGCUCUUAGUGAUUGUGCUACACAUCAGUGCCGUGCAAAACAACAGGAGGCCCCUAUUUUUAUUGCAAACGGAUGUAUUGUAGGCGCAAACUAUCAUAUUAUGCUAAACUAAGUUUCUCAGAAAUUUUCUUAAAAUUGGUACAAACGACUUGUUCAAAAUUUAAGCCACUGCCCAUAAUUUUGCGGGAUAAACAUAUGCCGCAUUUUUGGGAGUAGCUAAGCGUUUUGUUUGUUCACUAUUUUCUCGGUAAAUGUUGCGUAAAAUAGGUUCCAACUUUGGUGCAUUGGCCUACCUUUCAUUUUCAUUUGAUUAAGUCACUAUUGCGGACAGAACGUCGACAGAAAAGGUAAUUUUAGUAUGGCUCAGCUAAUUCUCAGUCCAACCUUGGGUUCACUUUCUGCGGAGAGCCUAUGU